rnacentral:lncRNA from 13 species
CAGCAGCCUUCAGUCAGGACACGUCUGUGCCUUUCCUUCUUUUUCCGCCAAGCUUUUCCACUCCUCUGCCCGCCCGUGAGUCUGCCAAAGUCUGAGGGAGGGUUGCUACUCCCUUGCUAUAGAAAGCUCAGCUUUGUGAGGAGUUUGUGGAAGCAGACCUCAUUUCCUGAAGAGGAGGGCCAUACCUGGGUCAAGGAUGGAGAGAAAGCCCUCACCAGAAGUGGGCCCCUUGACCUUGGACUUCCUAGUUUCAGAAUGAUCAACAGAGUGAAGAGCACAGGAAUAAGGCUACAAAAUCCCCUGUUGUCUUCAGAUGUGUCUGAGCUGCAGCCGACCACAGGAGGAACCCUGAUCUUCUUUUGUGGGGAGGAAACACACUGAGGAGGGGACAUGGAUGAGUCUGGAAACCAUCAUUCUCAGCAAACUGACACAAGAACAGAAAAUCAAACACUGCAUGUUCUAACUCAUAGGAGGGUGUUGAACAAUGCAAACAUGAGGACACAAAGAGGGGAGCAUCACACACUGAGGUCUGUUGCAAGGGGGUAGGGGAGGGACAGCGGGGGGUGGGGAGGUUGGGGAUGGAUAACAUGGGGAGAAAUGCCAGAUAUAGGUGAUGGGAGUGGAGGCAGCAAACCACCUUGCCAUGUAUGUACCUAUGCAACAAUCCUGCAUGAUCUGCACAUGUACCCCAGAAACUAAAGUACAAUAAAAAAGAGGGGGUGCUUGUCCCA